rnacentral:lncRNA from 1 species
AGCAAACUCCGACGUGGGUGAGAGAGAAUAGAGGAAAGAGAAGAAGCUGGUCGUGGCCGGCGACGCCGAGCGAUUCGCCCAUCUACGUGACUACCAGGCGUCCAGUUUGUCGAUUUGUGGGACACUUCAUCGGUGGUGAGCUCGGGAAAGACGCAGCUGGAUGGUGGAGCACCCUUCGACGAAAAGAUAAGUGGUGUGCUUGGAACCCUUGCCGCCGCUCGCCUCGCCAGGCAAAGCAAGGCAAGCUCCGAAGGGAGCGUUUGCUUUCCUUGCUGCUACUUGCCUUGCCUCCCCUGCAGCUCCAUCCAGCAGCGUCGGAGCUCGAUCCGACCAUGGUGGAGGUCAAUCCAACAGUGGCGGAGGUCGAAUCGACAACGGCUGAGGUCAAAUCGACGGUGGCGGAGGUCGAUUCGGUACAUGCAGAGUUUGAUUCAACGACGACGGAGCUUGAUUUGGUGUGCGUCUCGAUUUGACGACGGCGAAGCUUGUUGCAGCAGCUAUGGUGUCGAUUCGACGGUGGCUCGAGCAGCCCACACAAGCAAGCGAACCUUGCCCACACAUGAGAGUUGAUUUUGACUCUCCUGCAUCGGCAAGGAUCUCCUUGCCAGCCGAGCAAGCUGGCCGGGCAAAGAGGCGAGGCGAGCCUCCUGCAAGAGUACCAAGCGCGCCCAAGAUAUGUUAUUGGUGGGUCCCAUCAUAAUAAAAAAUGUUUCUUGAAAUUUGUGAAAAAGACUAAUUGUUGUAUGCAAGGUUGGUCUACUGAUGAUCUGGCUUGUCUGUAAGACAAGUUUAUUGGGCUUGCUCUAGUAACUGACGGAGCUUGUUGCUUGGAACGGAAGUGUUGGAUCCUUCGUAGCUCAAGACCUAAGCGACGGAACCACACGCACAUAACUGACGGCGCUUGUUGCUUGUCAAAAGUAAACGAGGUCCGUCAAACGAAAUAGUAUUAUGUUAGGAGAUGAUGGUUGGAUAUGCGUGCAGCCACGCUGACAGUUUCCUAACGCUAUGGAUACACGGUACGAAAAUACUAUCAUCGAGAUCCUGGACAUCAGGCGGUACUAGGCGUUGACGGAAAACACG